GCAGCAGGCCGGAGUGUGUCUGAGCCACAUUGCCAGAGAAUCCCCCGAUAUCAGGCGCCUCGCCGAUUUCUACAAAGAGGUUCCUUAACUUUUCAAAAACUAAGUACUUCAAUUUUAACAAGCUAAUAUGUGGUAACUUCAUUAUUAACGUGAUUGAGUUGAAUUUGCUAUGGUACAUGGUUGGUAAAUAUUUGGAUUCGAGGAGGUUGAAGCCCCAACCUUUGCGGGAGUGAAGGUGUUAUGGCUCAUGUUCCCUGGAAAUUAAGCUUUUCACUUCAUUGUGAGAAACCCUAGUUUUAACCUUCCAGAAGGGCCAUUUGCCGCUAAGUUACCUGAAGCUGAUCCGGUCCAUCUCGGCAGAGGCCAACAUAUCUGCUUCACUGUCUCCAAUCUCCCGUCAUUAGUCCAAACCCUCAAGGAGAAGGGAAUUCAAACUUCUGAGAGGUGCCUAGAUGAUGGUACGCUCCUGCGGCAAGUCUUCUUCUUUGAUAUAGAUGGGAAUGGGCUGGAGGUUGCAGCACCUCAAUGAAUUCCACAGCACCACCGAAGGCAGUUUUCGAAUGGUCGAGUGGGAUAGAUAUGAACUAGACGAUCAAUAAAUUUUAAUUACAUAUAUAUAAUAAGUUGCAAACUUGCAACGUAUGCAGUGUUAAUGUUGAAUAGCUAAUUUCAGCUUUUGGUCUUUGUAUUUCCAGAAAUGUAAAGGAACAAAAUGGAGAUGAUGAAAGCUUCAAAAGAACUAUUUCAUUUCUUUGUAAAAUGAUGAUUUGAUUCCAAACGGCUAUAUUCCUUGGAAUUUGACAAUGAUGCACAGAUCCAAACCUAAUGUAGAAUUCCAUGAGGUUGUGACA